GUCGAGCGCGAACGUGGCUUCGGCCACUAGUAGAGCGGCACAAGGGUGAGUAACACAUGGACAACUUGCCCUCGAGACUGGAAUAACGGCGGGAAACUGCCGCUAAUGCCGGAUGGCCCUGCGACACGGCAUCGUGAUGCAGGUAAAGGUGGGGAUCUUCGGACCUACCGCUCGAGGAGAGGUUCAUGCGCUAUCAGCUUGUUGGUGAGGUAAUGGCUCACCAAGGCUACGACGGUUAGGCGACCUGAGAGGGUGACCGCCCACACUGGGACUGAGACACUGCCCAGACUCCUACGGGAGGCUGCAGUCGAGAAUCUUCCGCAAUGGACGAAAGUCUGACGGAGCGACGCCGCGUGCGGGAUGAAGGGCUUUGGCUUGUAAACCGCUGUCAGGUGUUAUGAACGCGUAACGGUCAAUAUCCGUUGCGUUGACAAAGGCACCAAAGGAAGCCACGGCUAACUCUGUG
rnacentral:rRNA from 1 species